UCAGAGAAGCACAUGGCAUUAGUAACUUGCAAGGUAAUUCAUUAGGCUCUCAACACACACUUUAUAUUGGCUCCCAGGUCAGAGGUGAGGGGUCAGGGACAUGCCGAGUGCAGAGGGCAGGUUACAGCAUCAACAAGGGCUUUCCACAUGACAGAGUAUAUUAAAAGGUAUAUUAUAUUGGCUCCCAGGUCAGAGGUGGGGGGUCAGGGACAUGCCGAGUGCAGAGGGCAGGUUACAGCAACAACAAGGGCUUUCCAUAUGACAGAGUAUAUUAAAAGGUAUAAUAUAUUGGCUCCCAGGUCAGAGGUGGGGGUCAGGGACAUGCCGAGUGCAGAGGGCAGGUUACAGCAUCAACAACAAGGGCUUUCCACAUGACAGAGUAUAUUAAAAGGUAUAUUAUAUUGGCUCCCAGGUCAGAGGUGGGGGUCAGGGACAUGCCGAGCGCAGUGGCCGGGUUACAGCAACAACAAGGGCAUUUCACAUGACAGAAUAUAUUAAAAGGUGCAGAUAUAUAUUAGCAAGAGUGCAUAACAGGCAUGAGAGCUUGGCAAUUGGCAGCAUUUGAUGGGAAGAUGAAAAAGAGAUGUAAUUUUUUAAGCCUGAGUAGUUUUGAAGUGAGAUUUUUGGGUACUGUAUAGAUAUUAAAAAAUGCAGAUGUAUAUUAUCAAGUGUACAUAACAGGCAUAAGAGCUUGGCAGGGUUUGAUGGGAAGAUAAAAAAAGAUGUAAUUUUUUUAGCCUGGGUAGUUUUGAAGUGAGAUUUUUGGGUACUGUAUAGAUAUUAAAAAAUGCAGAUGUAUAUUAUCAAGUGUACAUAACAGGCAUAAGAGCUUGGCAGGGUUUGAUGGGAAGAUAAAACAGAGAUGUAAUUUGUUUUCCGAGUAGUUCUGAAGCGAGAUUUUUGGGUAC